rnacentral:rRNA from 1 species
UUAAGCGACUAAGCGUACACGGUGGAUGCCCUGGCAGUCAGAGGCGAUGAAGGACGUGCUAAUCUGCGAUAAGCGUCGGUAAGGUGAUAUGAACCGUUAUAACCGGCGAUUUCCGAAUGGGGAAACCCAGUGUGUUUCGACACACUAUCAUUAACUGAAUCCAUAGGUUAAUGAGGCGAACCGGGGGAACUGAAACAUCUAAGUACCCCGAGGAAAAGAAAUCAACCGAGAUUCCCCCAGUAGCGGCGAGCGAACGGGGAGCAGCCCAGAGCCUGAAUCAGUGUGUGUGUUAGUGGAAGCGUCUGGAAAGGCGCGCGAUACAGGGUGACAGCCCCGUACACAAAAAUGCACAUGCUGUGAGCUCGAUGAGUAGGGCGGGACACGUGGUAUCCUGUCUGAAUAUGGGGGGACCAUCCUCCAAGGCUAAAUACUCCUGACUGACCGAUAGUGAACCAGUACCGUGAGGGAAAGGCGAAAAGAACCCCGGCGAGGGGAGUGAAAAAGAACCUGAAACCGUGUACGUACAAGCAGUGGGAGCACGCUUAGGCGUGUGACUGCGUACCUUUUGUAUAAUGGGUCAGCGACUUAUAUUCUGUAGCAAGGUUAACCGAAUAGGGGAGCCGAAGGGAAACCGAGUCUUAACUGGGCGUUAAGUUGCAGGGUAUAGACCCGAAACCCGGUGAUCUAGCCAUGGGCAGGUUGAAGGUUGGGUAACACUAACUGGAGGACCGAACCGACUAAUGUUGAAAAAUUAGCGGAUGACUUGUGGCUGGGGGUGAAAGGCCAAUCAAACCGGGAGAUAGCUGGUUCUCCCCGAAAGCUAUUUAGGUAGCGCCUCGUGAAUUCAUCUCCGGGGGUAGAGCACUGUUUCGGCAAGGGGGUCAUCCCGACUUACCAACCCGAUGCAAACUGCGAAUACCGGAGAAUGUUAUCACGGGAGACACACGGCGGGUGCUAACGUCCGUCGUGAAGAGGGAAACAACCCAGACCGCCAGCUAAGGUCCCAAAGUCAUGGUUAAGUGGGAAACGAUGUGGGAAGGCCCAGACAGCCAGGAUGUUGGCUUAGAAGCAGCCAUCAUUUAAAGAAAGCGUAAUAGCUCACUGGUCGAGUCGGCCUGCGCGGAAGAUGUAACGGGGCUAAACCAUGCACCGAAGCUGCGGCAGCGACACUAUGUGUUGUUGGGUAGGGGAGCGUUCUGUAAGCCUGUGAAGGUGUACUGUGAGGUAUGCUGGAGGUAUCAGAAGUGCGAAUGCUGACAUAAGUAACGAUAAAGCGGGUGAAAAGCCCGCUCGCCGGAAGACCAAGGGUUCCUGUCCAACGUUAAUCGGGGCAGGGUGAGUCGACCCCUAAGGCGAGGCCGAAAGGCGUAGUCGAUGGGAAACAGGUUAAUAUUCCUGUACUUGGUGUUACUGCGAAGGGGGGACGGAGAAGGCUAUGUUGGCCGGGCGACGGUUGUCCCGGUUUAAGCGUGUAGGCUGGUUUUCCAGGCAAAUCCGGAAAAUCAAGGCUGAGGCGUGAUGACGAGGCACUACGGUGCUGAAGCAACAAAUGCCCUGCUUCCAGGAAAAGCCUCUAAGCAUCAGGUAACAUCAAAUCGUACCCCAAACCGACACAGGUGGUCAGGUAGAGAAUACCAAGGCGCUUGAGAGAACUCGGGUGAAGGAACUAGGCAAAAUGGUGCCGUAACUUCGGGAGAAGGCACGCUGAUAUGUAGGUGAAGUCCCUCGCGGAUGGAGCUGAAAUCAGUCGAAGAUACCAGCUGGCUGCAACUGUUUAUUAAAAACACAGCACUGUGCAAACACGAAAGUGGACGUAUACGGUGUGACGCCUGCCCGGUGCCGGAAGGUUAAUUGAUGGGGUUAGCGCAAGCGAAGCUCUUGAUCGAAGCCCCGGUAAACGGCGGCCGUAACUAUAACGGUCCUAAGGUAGCGAAAUUCCUUGUCGGGUAAGUUCCGACCUGCACGAAUGGCGUAAUGAUGGCCAGGCUGUCUCCACCCGAGACUCAGUGAAAUUGAACUCGCUGUGAAGAUGCAGUGUACCCGCGGCAAGACGGAAAGACCCCGUGAACCUUUACUAUAGCUUGACACUGAACAUUGAGCCUUGAUGUGUAGGAUAGGUGGGAGGCUUUGAAGUGUGGACGCCAGUCUGCAUGGAGCCGACCUUGAAAUACCACCCUUUAAUGUUUGAUGUUCUAACGUGGACCCGUGAUCCGGGUUGCGGACAGUGUCUGGUGGGUAGUUUGACUGGGGCGGUCUCCUCCUAAAGAGUAACGGAGGAGCACGAAGGUUGGCUAAUCCUGGUCGGACAUCAGGAGGUUAGUGCAAUGGCAUAAGCCAGCUUGACUGCGAGCGUGACGGCGCGAGCAGGUGCGAAAGCAGGUCAUAGUGAUCCGGUGGUUCUGAAUGGAAGGGCCAUCGCUCAACGGAUAAAAGGUACUCCGGGGAUAACAGGCUGAUACCGCCCAAGAGUUCAUAUCGACGGCGGUGUUUGGCACCUCGAUGUCGGCUCAUCACAUCCUGGGGCUGAAGUAGGUCCCAAGGGUAUGGCUGUUCGCCAUUUAAAGUGGUACGCGAGCUGGGUUUAGAACGUCGUGAGACAGUUCGGUCCCUAUCUGCCGUGGGCGCUGGAGAACUGAGGGGGGCUGCUCCUAGUACGAGAGGACCGGAGUGGACGCAUCACUGGUGUUCGGGUUGUCAUGCCAAUGGCACUGCCCGGUAGCUAAAUGCGGAAGAGAUAAGUGCUGAAAGCAUCUAAGCACGAAACUUGCCCCGAGAUGAGUUCUCCCUGACUCCUUGAGAGUCCUGAAGGAACGUUGAAGACGACGACGUUGAUAGGCCGGGUGUGUAAGCGCAGCGAUGCGUUGAGCUAACCGGUACUAAUGAACCGUGAGGCUUAACCUU